CCUGAAGGAACGUUAAAGACGACGACGUUGAUAGGCCGGGUGUGUAAGCGCAGCGAUGCGUUGAGCUAACCGGUACUAAUGAACCGUGAGGCUUAACCUU
rnacentral:rRNA from 1 species